AUUGAACGCUGGCGGCAUGUACACANUGCAAGUCGAACGGCAGCGCGGGGCAACCUGGCGGCGAGUGGCGAACGGGUGAGUAAUAUAUCGGAACGUACCCUGGAGUGGGGGAUAACGUAGCGAAAGUUACGCUAAUACCGCAUACGAUCUAAGGAUGAAAGUGGGGGAUCGCAAGACCUCAUGCUCCUGGAGCGGCCGAUAUCUGAUUAGCUAGUUGGUGGGGUAAAGGCCUACCAAGGCAUCGAUCAGUAGCUGGUCUGAGAGGACGACCAGCCACACUGGAACUGAGACACGGUCCAGACUCCUACGGGAGGCAGCAGUGGGGAAUUUUGGACAAUGGGCGAAAGCCUGAUCCAGCAAUGCCGCGUGAGUGAAGAAGGCCUUCGGGUUGUAAAGCUCUUUUGUCAGGGAAGAAACGGUGAGGGCUAAUAUCCCUUGCUAAUGACGGUACCUGAAGAAUAAGCACCGGCUAACUACGUGCCAGCAGCCGCGGUAAUACGUAGGGUGCAAGCGUUAAUCGGAAUUACUGGGCGUAAAGCGUGCGCAGGCGGUUUUGUAAGUCUGUCGUGAAAUCCCCGGGCUCAACCUGGGAAUUGCGAUGGGGACUGCAAGGCUAGAAUCUGGCAGAGGGGGGUAGAAUUCCACGUGUAGCAGUGAAAUGCGUAGAGAUGUGGAGGAACACCGAUGGCGAAGGCAGCCCCCUGGGUCAAGAUUGACGCUCA
rnacentral:rRNA from 1 species